rnacentral:rRNA from 1 species
CCUACGGGAGGCAGCAGUGAGGAAUAUUGGUCAAUGGGCGCGAGCCUGAACCAGCCAAGUCGCGUGAGGGAAGACGGUCCUAUGGAUUGUAAACCUCUUUUGUCGGGGAGCAAAAGACGCCACGCGUGGCGUUCCGAGAGUACCCGAAGAAAAAGCAUCGGCUAACUCCGUGCCAGCAGCCGCGGUAAUACGGGGGAUGCGAGCGUUAUCCGGAUUUAUUGGGUUUAAAGGGUGCGCAGGCGGAAGAUUAAGUCAGCGGUAAAAUUGGGGGGCUCAACCUCUUCGAGCCGUUGAAACUGGUGUUCUUGAGUGAGCGAGAAGUAUGCGGAAUGCGUGGUGUAGCGGUGAAAUGCAUAGAUAUCACGCAGAACUCCGAUUGCGAAGGCAGCAUACCGGCGCUCAACUGACGCUCAUGCACGAAAGUGUGGGUAUCGAACAGGAUUAGAUACCCCAGUAGUC